rnacentral:rRNA from 1 species
AGAGUUUGAUCCUGGCUCAGAUUGAACGCUGGCGGCAUGCCUUACACAUGCAAGUCGAACGGCAGCAUGAUCUAGCUUGCUAGAUUGAUGGCGAGUGGCGAACGGGUGAGUAAUACAUCGGAACGUGCCCUGUAGUGGGGGAUAACUAGUCGAAAGAUUAGCUAAUACCGCAUACGACCUGAGGGUGAAAGUGGGGGACCGCAAGGCCUCAUGCUAUAGGAGCGGCCGAUGUCUGAUUAGCUAGUUGGUGAGGUAAAGGCUCACCAAGGCGACGAUCAGUAGCUGGUCUGAGAGGACGAUCAGCCACACUGGGACUGAGACACGGCCCAGACUCCUACGGGAGGCAGCAGUGGGGAAUUUUGGACAAUGGGCGAAAGCCUGAUCCAGCAAUGCCGCGUGUGUGAAGAAGGCCUUCGGGUUGUAAAGCACUUUUGUCCGGAAAGAAAUGGCUCUGGUUAAUACCUGGGGUCGAUGACGGUACCGGAAGAAUAAGGACCGGCUAACUACGUGCCAGCAGCCGCGGUAAUACGUAGGGUCCAAGCGUUAAUCGGAAUUACUGGGCGUAAAGCGUGCGCAGGCGGUUGUGCAAGACCGAUGUGAAAUCCCCGAGCUUAACUUGGGAAUUGCAUUGGUGACUGCACGGCUAGAGUGUGUCAGAGGGGGGUAGAAUUCCACGUGUAGCAGUGAAAUGCGUAGAGAUGUGGAGGAAUACCGAUGGCGAAGGCAGCCCCCUGGGAUAACACUGACGCUCAUGCACGAAAGCGUGGGGAGCAAACAGGAUUAGAUACCCUGGUAGUCCACGCCCUAAACGAUGUCAACUAGUUGUUGGGGAUUCAUUUCCUUAGUAACGUAGCUAACGCGUGAAGUUGACCGCCUGGGGAGUACGGUCGCAAGAUUAAAACUCAAAGGAAUUGACGG